UUUUGCCUUCCCAAGGAGGCUUGCCAGGAGAACUGCCACUUACGGUGCCACUCAUGGUGCCACUCAGCUGGUUUGGGGCACACUAGGAUGCCAAGGCCUGGGCUGUUGGUGGCAAUGAGUCCACGGCCACGUGCCCAGCAGAGAUGGAGCAGAGAUCAACAAUUCAGAACGGGGGCUCUCAGUCACCCUUGCUGAUGACUGGCCUUGCAACAGCCGCUGUGGCUCCUUCUCCCAGAAAUCAUUCCCUCCCUUCUUCUGUCCUGCCCCUACUGCAAGGACAGCUCAUGAAGCAGAAUCUGAACUGGCCUCAAUGGAUCGAGGAGGACAAGCAACAUUUUAAAUCCUCUGCAAUACCCCAGCUCAGACAUCAGCAAGGCGCCUACACGUCCCUGGCUGAAGGCUGCCUGUCACGCACCUUCCCACACCUCGGCGCGUGUCUGGACUGCGGUGAGUAAAGCUCUUUGUGCAAAAAUUCUCCUAAAACAAGGGGAGCUGGGCUUCACAAGUCACCGGGCUGCUUAGGAAGCUUUCUAGAGAAACUUGUGUGCUGUUAGGAAUGAAGUUUUCACUUCUGAAGGCACAGUCGUGUCCCUGAGUUCUCCUGGAAAUGGUGUGUAAAUUGUGAGGAUGGAGAACCUGAUGCUGGUGGAGCAGCCAUCGCUCUCAGGUGAUGAAACCUGGCCCACCAACACUUUGGGGCAUAUUUCCACCACCAGCGGCAUAUCAGCUCUCAUGUCCUCAUCAAAUUCCAACUGAAGUAAUUAGCUUGUAAUUCCAAAUGGUAAUAUCCAUUGCUUCAUUACCUCCUGUACUCCUAACGCUGUGCAGGAUGGUCACCUCCUCUCCAGCUCAGCAGCAAUUAUCUUCCAGCAAAGAGAAAAGCAAACAAACAAGCAACACUAUCAGCCUCCACAGCACCUUGGUUCUCUUCAGGAUGAAUGGCGUAAUAUAAAUGUGGAGGAUUAUUUAAAAACCCAUUGUGAACACUUCUGGCACAUUAGCCAUAAUAUUAGUCUGAGUGUUUUAUUUGGCCAUAAUCCAGUUCUUUUGUCGAGAUACACUACCUGGUGCGUGCGCUCGCAGAUGAACCGAUUGGCUCAUAAAAUAGCAGGAUGGCAAAAUUAUCAGGAAAAACAAUGUGUUUUUAUGUUGCUGUAAGUCAUGGAUAUGUAAUAAAAGGGGGACAAGAAGUUCCUGAGCCAGUGAGCAUAAAGGUGAGGGUUUUAUUGCAGCCGUAAGUUCUGAAGUGUGCAUUUAAUACAGAGUGAUAUUUAGCUGCCCAGCCUGAUUUUUGUGUACUGGAGUAAUGACAAUAAAUGUGAACUAGGUAAUUUAGGAAUUAAGAAGUCUAGC